rnacentral:rRNA from 1 species
ACUAGAAUGCAAGAGAGGUAAAUGGAAUUCCAUGUGUAUCGGUAAAAUGCGUAGAUAUAUGGAAGUUUCACCUGUGGCGAAAGCGGUUUACCAGCUUGUUAUUGACGCUGAGGCACGAAAGCGUGGGGAGCAAAUAGGAUUAGAUACCCUAGUAGUCCACGCCGUAAACGUUGAGUACUAGGUGUCGGGAAUUAUCUCGGCGCCGCAGCUAACGCAUUAAGUACUCCGCCUGAGUAGUAUGCACGCAAGUGUGAAACUCAAAGGAAUUGACGGGGACCCGCACAAGUGGUGGAGCAUGUGGUUUAAUUCGAAGCAACACUAAGAACCUUACCAGGGCUUGACAUCCAGUGCAAAGGCAUAGAGAUAUGCUGGAGGCUAACAUUGAGACAGGUGGUGCAUGGUUGUCGUCAGUUCGUGCCGUGAGGUGUUUGGUUAAGUCCAGCAACGAACGCAACCCUUGUCAUUAGUUACUAACAUUUAGUUGAGGACUCUAAUGAGACUGCUAGUGUAAGCUAGAGGAAGGUGGGGAUGACGUCAAAUCAUCAUGCCCCUUAUGUCCUGGGCUACACACGUGCUACAAUGGCUGAUACAAAGAGUCGCAAUCUCGCAAGGAGGAGCUAAUCUCAUAAAAUCAGUCUCAGUUCGGAUUUGAAGGCUGCAACUCGCCUUCAUGAAGCCGGAAUCAC